UCUGUCACCUUCGGGUUGCGGCCGUGCGAACUCCUUCUCUCCCCACACUGUCCCGGGUUCAAUCGCUGAAGUCCGUCGCCCAUUGCAACGUUGUUGUUCGACGCAUCCGCUUUCCGGAGGGAAGGCGGCGGCGUCGAAUAAUGCGCGCUGUAACAAGACGAGGCGGGAAACCGAGCACUCGGCAGUGCCGUAAUGGCGGGUGCGUGGAUCACGACGGACGCGAU
rnacentral:SRP_RNA from 1 species